AGAAAUGUAGCUUAGUGGUAGAGUGCUUGCCUAGCAUGCAUGAAGCCCUAGGUUCAAUUCCUCAGUACUA
rnacentral:tRNA from 1 species